rnacentral:lncRNA from 1 species
UUGAAAGAAGUAUUAAUUUAGUUAGUUGUUUCGAAUUUUCAAUCAGUUGAAAAAGCUAUUGUUCAAAGUCUGGUGACUACAACAAGUUUUUCAUCCAGAUGAUUUGUUGUGACAACCAAUUGAAUUGCACUUAGUGUUUUUCAAAAGGUUUUGAAAGAGUUUGGUUUUCUUGUCUUUUUUGUGAGGCAAAAAUAGUAAGUUCAUUCGAUAAAAGAACUAGUUGUUUUAUGUGGAAUCUUUAACAACAAAAAAAUCAAUCAGUUUAUUUUAU